rnacentral:rRNA from 1 species
GGUUACAGCACCUUGGCUGGUCUUGGAAAGCUAAGCAGGAUCAUACUGAUUGGUAUUGGGAUAGGAGACCACCAGGAAAUCCCAGAGCUGUAGCCU